rnacentral:rRNA from 1 species
UACGGGGGGGGCAAGCGUUGUUCGGAAUUACUGGGCGUAAAGGGCGCGUAGGCGGCUUGGCAAGUGGAAGGUGAAAUCCCUCGGCUUAGCCGAGGAACUGCCCUCCAAACUGCUUCGCUUGAGACCGGGAGAGGUGAGUGGAAUUCCCAGUGUAGCGGUGAAAUGCGUAGAUAUUGGGAGGAACACCAGUGGCGAAGGCGGCUCACUGGACCGGUACUGACGCUGAUGCGCGAAAGCGUGGGGAGCAAACGGG